CUUUGCAGGGGUCAUGCAGCCUGGGAAAAGCGAUCAGAGCAGCAGACAAGGAUGUUUUUAGAACAAAACCAGGAGCUGGGUGGUUACAUGCUAGCACCUGACCCCUAGCUGGUGCUUUGGGGAUGAGCUUUUCUACCUGAGGGAAGUGACAGGAUGCUUCUGCUUCCCACGAGUAUGCUGCUGGGAAAGGAGCCCCUCCACUUUGCGGUUGCUCUGAUCCAGAUGUUCUGCCAGUUCACAGCCCACAUCUUCGCUCUUCCUCUCCUACCCAUGCGUGUGACCAGCACCACUGCCACCACACUGCCCUAAAGCCCGAAAUGCUCCUGUAUGCCAUCAUCUCCUCAUAGUGCAGCAGGUGGACAUCCUGCUCUGGGGGCUGACAUGGGCUAAGCGGCAUCUUCUUCCUUACGGAGAAGCACAACCCCAUCAGCUAUGAUUUUGAAAUAUCUGGUGACGAAAAUUCAUCUCAGUACCCAGACAAAAGGCUUCUGCAGUGUUCUCAGUGACGCCUUUUCAGUCCAGUGGGGAAAAAAAAAUAAAUCAAAAUUUCCAGAAGGAGUUCCUUUGGUUCUCAGUUCCCUUGUCAUAUUUUUCUUACAUUUCAUGAAAAGCUGUUUAUAGAAUAUGAGGAAGGUCAUGCCAGAUAUUCUCAUUUGCCCAGAAAGUAAAUGAUUCAGAUGUGUGUAUUCUAAAAGACCUAAAAAAGAAUGAAGCACAGAUCUUUUAAAGUAUGAGGGUGCCAUAUUUCCAUUUAUUUUAGUUCCCUCAAGGAGAUUCAAUGGGAUUUUAUGCCUUGAAUUCAUUGAAAAUAUCUGUAUACUCUGAAUGGAAUAGGUCCAAAGCACAUUUAUGCUUUAUGAUAGAAACAGAAUUUUGUAUUCUUU
rnacentral:lncRNA from 1 species